GACGAACGCUGGCGGCGUGCCUAACACAUGCAAGUCGAACGAACACGCCCGAGCUUGCUCGGUCUGAUUAGUGGCGAACGGGUGAGUAACACGUGAGCAACCCCCCCUUCACUCUGGGAUAACCUCGGGGAAUCGCGGCUAAUAUCGGAUAUGAGCUCUUGUCCCAUGGCGUGUGUUGGAAAGAUUUUAGGUGGUUGAUAGGCUGGCGGCUUAUCUGUUUGUUGGUGAGGUAGUGGCUCACCAAGGCUUUGACGGGUAGCCGACCUGAGAGGGCGACCGGCCACACUGGGCCUGAGAGAGGGCCCAGAAUCCAACGGGAGGCAGCAGUGGGGAAUAUUGCACAGUGGGCGAAAGCCAGAUGCAGAGACGCCGCGUGAGGAAUGACGGCCUUCGGGGUGUAAACCUCUGUGAGCGGGGAAGAAGCGAAAGUGACGGUACCUGCAGAAGAAGCGCCGGCUAACUACGUG
rnacentral:rRNA from 1 species